AUAUCGGAUUAGCUAGUUGGUGGGGUAAAGGCCUACCAAGGCGUCGAUCCGUAGCUGGUUUGAGAGGACGACCAGCCGCACUGGGACUGAGACACGGCCCAGACUCCUACGGGAGGCAGCAGUGGGGAAUUUUGGACAUGGGGGCAACCCUGAUCCAGCCAUCCCGCGUGUGCGAUGAAGGCCUUCGGGUUGUAAAGCACUUUUGGCAGGGAAGAAAAGGCUCUGGCUAAUACCUGGAGCUGCUGACGGUACCUGCAGAAUAAGCACCGGCUAACUACGUGCCAGCAGCCGCGGUAAUACGUAGGGUGCAAGCGUUAAUCGGAAUUACUGGGCGUAAAGCGUGCGCAGGCGGUUCGGCAAGAAGGAUGUGAAAUCCCAGGGCUUAACCUUGGA
rnacentral:rRNA from 1 species